AGAAUCAACGCUGGCGGCGUGCCUAACACAUGCAAGUCGAACGAGAAAGGGUAGCAAUACCUGAGUACAGUGGCGCACGGGUGAGUAACACGUGACUAACCUACCCUGGAGUGGGAAUAACUGAGGGAAACCUUAGCUAAUACCGCAUAAUACCUACGGGUCAAAGGAGUCAAUUCGCUUCAGGAGGGGGUCGCGGCCGAUUAGUUAGUUGGCGGGGUAAUGGCCCACCAAGACAGUGAUCGGUA
rnacentral:rRNA from 1 species